rnacentral:tRNA from 5 species
GCCGGCGUAGCUCAGUGGUAGUAGCGAACGUUUCAUAAGCGUUAGGUCACAGGUUCGAUCCCUGUCGCCGGCA